AGGCGAAACCCGGCCUUCGGGCCGUGGUCCGCCGGUGGAUGGCUUCCCCGGCGCUGAUGAGCCAAGCCGAAC
rnacentral:hammerhead_ribozyme from 1 species